rnacentral:rRNA from 1 species
UACGUAGGUGGCAAGCGUUAUCCGGAUUUAUUGGGCGUAAAGGGAACGCAGGCGGUCUUUUAAGUCUGAUGUGAAAGCCUUCGGCUUAACCGGAGUAGUGCAUUGGAAACUGGGAGACUUGAGUGCGGAAGAGGAGAGUGGAAUUCCAUGUGUAGCGGUGAAAUGCGUAGAUAUAUGGAGGAACACCGGUGGCGAAAGCGGCUCUCUGGCCUGUAACUGACACUGAGGCUCGAAAGCGUGGGGAGCAAACAGG